rnacentral:rRNA from 1 species
CUAACUGGAGGACCGAACCGACUAAUGUUGAAAAAUUAGCGGAUGACUUGUGGCUGGGGGUGAAAGGCCAAUCAAACCGGGAGAUAGCUGGUUCUCCCCGAAAGCUAUUUAGGUAGCGCCUCGUGAACUCAUCUCCGGGGGUAGAGCACUGUUUCGGCAAGGGGGUCAUCCCGACUUACCAACCCGAUGCAAACUGCGAAUACCGGAGAAUGUUAUCACGGGAGACACACGGCGGGUGCUAACGUCCGUCGUGAAGAGGGAAACAACCCAGACCGCCAGCUAAGGUCCCAAAGUCAUGGUUAAGUGGGAAACGAUGUGGGAAGGCCCAGACAGCCAGGAUGUUGGCUUAGAAGCAGCCAUCAUUUAAAGAAAGCGUAAUAGCUCACUGGUCGAGUCGGCCUGCGCGGAAGAUGUAACGGGGCUAAACCAUGCACCGAAGCUGCGGCAGCGACACUAUGUGUUGUUGGGUAGGGGAGCGUUCUGUAAGCCUGUGAAGGUGUGCUGUGAGGCAUGCUGGAGGUAUCAGAAGUGCGAAUGCUGACAUAAGUAACGAUAAAGCGGGUGAAAAGCCCGCUCGCCGGAAGAC